rnacentral:rRNA from 1 species
CGGUGCCAGCAGCCGCGGUAAUUCCAGCUCCAAUAGCGUAUAUUAAGUUGCUGCAGUUAAAAGCUCGUAGUUGAAUUUCGGGACAUCAUGUCGGUCGUGCCUCGGUACGUACUGGUAUUGUUGGUUUCUCCCUUCUGACGAACCAUGAUGUCAUUUAUUUGGUGUUGUGGGAAUCAGGACUGUUACUUUGAAAAAAUUAGAGUGUUUAAAGCAGGCUCACGCUUGAAUACAUUAGCAUGGAAUAAUGAAAUAGGACGUUUGAUUCUAUUUUAGUUGGUUUCUAGGAUCGACGUAAUGAUUAAUAGGGAUAGUUGGGGGCAUUAGUAUUCAAUUGUCAGAGGUGAAAUUCUUGGAUUUAUUGAAGACUAACUACUGCGAAAGCAUUUGCCAAGGAUGUUUUCAUUAAUCAAGAACGAAAGUUAGGGGGAUCGAAGACGAUCAGAUACCGUCGUAGUCUUAACCAUAAACUAUGCCGACUAGGGAUCGGAUGAUGUUAAUUUUUUAAUGACUCAUUCGGCGCCUUACG